rnacentral:rRNA from 2 species
UUUGGUUAAGUUAGAAAGGGCGCACGGUGGAUGCCUUGACACUAGGAGUCGAUGAAGGACGGGACUAACGCCGAUAUGCUUCGGGGAGCUGUAAGUAAGCUUUGAUCCGAAGAUUUCCGAAUGGGGAAACCCACCAUACGUAAUGGUAUGGUAUCCUUAUCUGAAUACAUAGGGUAAGGAAGACAGACCCAGGGAACUGAAACAUCUAAGUACCUGGAGGAAGAGAAAGCAAAUGCGAUUUCCUGAGUAGCGGCGAGCGAAACGGAACAUAGCCCAAACCAAGAGGCUUGCCUCUUGGGGUUGUAGGACAUUCUAUACGGAGUUACAAAGGAACGAGGUAGACGAAGCGACCUGGAAAGGUCCGUCGUAGAGGGUAACAACCCCGUAGUCGAAACUUCGUUCUCUCUUGAAUGUAUCCUGAGUACGGCGGAACACGUGAAAUUCCGUCGGAAUCUGGGAGGACCAUCUCCCAAGGCUAAAUACUCCCUAGUGAUCGAUAGUGAACCAGUACCGUGAGGGAAAGGUGAAAAGCACCCCGGAAGGGGAGUGAAAGAGAUCCUGAAACCGUGUGCCUACAAAUAGUCAGAGCCCGUUAACGGGUGAUGGCGUGCCUUUUGUAGAAUGAACCGGCGAGUUACGAUCCCGUGCGAGGUUAAGCUGAAGAGGCGGAGCCGCAGCGAAAGCGAGUCUGAAUAGGGCGUUUAGUACGUGGUCGUAGACCCGAAACCAGGUGAUCUACCCAUGUCCAGGGUGAAGUUCAGGUAACACUGAAUGGAGGCCCGAACCCACGCACGUUGAAAAGUGCGGGGAUGAGGUGUGGGUAGCGGAGAAAUUCCAAUCGAACCUGGAGAUAGCUGGUUCUCCCCGAAAUAGCUUUAGGGCUAGCCUUAAGUGUAAGAGUCUUGGAGGUAGAGCACUGAUUGGACUAGGGGUCCUCAUCGGAUUACCGAAUUCAGUCAAACUCCGAAUGCCAAUGACUUAUCCUUAGGAGUCAGACUGCGAGUGAUAAGAUCCGUAGUCAAAAGGGAAACAGCCCAGACCGCCAGCUAAGGUCCCAAAGUGUGUAUUAAGUGGAAAAGGAUGUGGAGUUGCUUAGACAACUAGGAUGUUGGCUUAGAAGCAGCCACCAUUUAAAGAGUGCGUAAUAGCUCACUAGUCGAGUGACUCUGCGCCGAAAAUGUACCGGGGCUAAAUACACCACCGAAGCUGCGGAUUGAUACCGAAUGGUAUCAGUGGUAGGGGAGCGUUCUAAGGACAGUGAAGUCAGACCGGAAGGACUGGUGGAGUGCUUAGAAGUGAGAAUGCCGGUAUGAGUAGCGAAAGACGGGUGAGAAUCCCGUCCACCGAAUGCCUAAGGUUUCCUGAGGAAGGCUCGUCCGCUCAGGGUUAGUCAGGACCUAAGCCGAGGCCGACAGGCGUAGGCGAUGGACAACAGGUUGAUAUUCCUGUACCACCUCUUUAUCGUUUGAGCAAUGGAGGGACGCAGAAGGAUAGAAGAAGCGUGCGAUUGGUUGUGCACGUCCAAGCAGUUAGGCUGAUAAGUAGGCAAAUCCGCUUAUCAUAAAGGCUGAGCUGUGAUGGGGAAGCUCCUUAUGGAGCGAAGUCUUUGAUUCCCCGCUGCCAAGAAAAGCUUCUAGCGAGAUAAAAGGUGCCUGUACCGCAAACCGACACAGGUAGGCGAGGAGAGAAUCCUAAGGUGUGCGAGAGAACUCUGGUUAAGGAACUCGGCAAAAUGACCCCGUAACUUCGGGAGAAGGGGUGCUUUCUUAACGGAAAGCCGCAGUGAAUAGGCCCAAGCGACUGUUUAGCAAAAACACAGCUCUCUGCGAAGCCGUAAGGCGAAGUAUAGGGGGUGACACCUGCCCGGUGCUGGAAGGUUAAGGAGAGGGGUUAGCGUAAGCGAAGCUCUGAACUGAAGCCCCAGUAAACGGCGGCCGUAACUAUAACGGUCCUAAGGUAGCGAAAUUCCUUGUCGGGUAAGUUCCGACCCGCACGAAAGGUGUAACGAUUUGGGCACUGUCUCAACCAGAGACUCGGUGAAAUUAUAGUACCUGUGAAGAUGCAGGUUACCCGCGACAGGACGGAAAGACCCCGUGGAGCUUUACUGUAGCCUGAUAUUGAAUUUUGGUACAGUUUGUACAGGAUAGGCGGGAGCCAUUGAAACCGGAGCGCUAGCUUCGGUGGAGGCGCUGGUGGGAUACCGCCCUGACUGUAUUGAAAUUCUAACCUACGGGUCUUAUCGACCCGGGAGACAGUGUCAGGUGGGCAGUUUGACUGGGGCGGUCGCCUCCUAAAGUGUAACGGAGGCGCCCAAAGGUUCCCUCAGAAUGGUUGGAAAUCAUUCGUAGAGUGCAAAGGCAUAAGGGAGCUUGACUGCGAGACCUACAAGUCGAGCAGGGACGAAAGUCGGGCUUAGUGAUCCGGUGGUUCCGCAUGGAAGGGCCAUCGCUCAACGGAUAAAAGCUACCCCGGGGAUAACAGGCUUAUCUCCCCCAAGAGUCCACAUCGACGGGGAGGUUUGGCACCUCGAUGUCGGCUCAUCGCAUCCUGGGGCUGUAGUCGGUCCCAAGGGUUGGGCUGUUCGCCCAUUAAAGCGGUACGCGAGCUGGGUUCAGAACGUCGUGAGACAGUUCGGUCCCUAUCCGUCGUGGGCGUAGGAAAUUUGAGAGGAGCUGUCCUUAGUACGAGAGGACCGGGAUGGACGCACCGCUGGUGUACCAGUUGUUCUGCCAAGGGCAUAGCUGGGUAGCUAUGUGCGGAAGGGAUAAGUGCUGAAAGCAUCUAAGCAUGAAGCCCCCCUCAAGAUGAGAUUUCCCAUAGCGUAAGCUAGUAAGAUCCCUGAAAGAUGAUCAGGUUGAUAGGUUCGAGGUGGAAGCAUGGUGACAUGUGGAGCUGACGAAUACUAAUAGAUCGAGGACUUAACCAUAUAA